ensembl:snRNA U6 U6 spliceosomal RNA
GUGCUCACUUCGGCAGCACAUACACUAACAUUGGAACAAUGCAGAAAAGAUUGGCAUGGCCCCUGCACAGGGCUGACAUGCAAAUUCGUGAAGCAUGCCAUAUAUUU